CUACAUGUCUUAUGUUCUAGAAUCUAAAUCGUUAAUAAAUUUAAAUUUCAGAUGAAUCAUCAUAUAACAGCUUACAAUACGUGUAUUCUAAACGCGGUAAUCCUUUAAUGUUCUUCGCUGGCUAUACGUUCUCUUUGAAGAAGUACAGGAACACUAACGAUUCUAGACGCAGACUGUGGCGUUGUUCGACACACGCCAGUCGCGGAUGUCACGUGGUGCUGGUUACUGUGGACGAGACUAUCGUCAGUAUAAAAUCAGAACACAACCACAAACCAAGCUACCGUUAUUGUAAAACCAAGCCCAUAACCGCUAUGUAACCAACGAAACAGAUGUCAUUUAAAACCAAGCCCAACACCGCUAUAAACCUAGCAACCGUUUAAAAAAUAAUUGAAAUACCGCUGGUUACUUUGUUACUUCACAUCUCAAUUAGCUGAGGACCGGAAAUAUGUACCUAUUUCGUUAAAAAAUCAGUUUUAAGAAGUACCUAAAUAAUUUUAGAGAAAUAUUGUUUUAUGUAAAAAAGAAAAUGUAUAAUUAUUUUGCUUAUGUAAAUAUAAUAAAGCGAUGUAAUGUGAUUUUAAUUUAUCAUCUGGUAAGAAUAAAGUGAUAAAAAUAUAUAACUGUACGUUUUGAAUACAUUACUUUUAAAUGUCAUUAUACACCACUUGUUAAAUGAAAGAAAAUGUAAAUAUUACGUAAUAUACAUUUUUUCUAGGUGUUAUAUUUUUGAAAAGCAAGAAAGGCAGGAAAUUGAUACAAUAUGGCGGCUACGUAUAUACUCUGCACGUACAAAAACAAAUUGGUGCUAUCAUAAAAUCUAGAUGGCGUUGCUUAACACAUUGCUGUAGAGGAUGCAAGGCUGUGUUGCAUACCAGUGAUGAUGAGAUUCUAUCAGCAAAAGUUGUCCACAAUCAUUAGUUUUUACACAUUACAUGCCUAAAUAAGCUCUUUACACCCAAUUCGAAAUUAGUGAACCUUUUUGGAAAACUAAAAAAAAAAAAAAAACAAUAGUUCUAAAAUAAUUUAUGCUAACAUAAAAUUAACUUCAAAUUAAAAAUCCCAGUGUUUUUUCUAGAGAAAAUAAUCCUUAUAGGUAAAUCAAAUAUUUGCUAAUACUAAUGGUAUUUUUUUUCAAUUUCCCGCAAAACUGUACGACUAUAGUAUAUGGCUAAGAUUGUGAAACUAAGGCUCCAACAUAAAUUAUAAGUUUUUAUUAAAUUAUCUUACUAAAGAUUCUCUUUGAGAUACAUAUUUUAAAACAAACGUAUGGUCUAUUGACGUCUAUUUCAAUUUUUAUUUUGCUCAAUCAAAUUGCGUAAUUUCGUUACAUUAUAUUUUAAAUCAUUUUGUACUACGAUAUGUUAAUAAAUAAUGUUUUAAAUCGAAUCGUAUCCUUCAUUUGGGCCCAAGACUUUGAAUUUUAUGACUAACAUGAUAAAAAAUAAAAAUUGUAUUUCAAAUGUACUCUCUUUCCAGAUGUCAUGUUCGCGAAGAACAAGCGAGGUAGGACGAUUCUAACGGUCGAAGGUCACACGUAUUCUGUGCACACAGUCCAGCAUCUGGGCGAGUCGAUUAAAAAGAGAUGGCGUUGUUCAAAAUACAAAUACUGCAAAGCCUAUGUACAUACAAUUGACGAUGUCCUUAUCAAAACUUGCUUACGACAUAACCAUUAAAACCAUUUUUUAUUAAAAGUAAGAAGGGCAGCACAAUUCUCAUAAUGGGAGGUUUCAAGUUCUGCGUUCACACUCAACUUGAUUUCGGUGGAAAAACUAAAAUAAGAUGGCGUUGUUCAAAAUUUAGGAACUGCAAGGCUACUGUGCAUACACUUGACGGAGAUAUUAUAAAAACACAUUUAUAUCAUAACCACUAAUAUAUAAUUUAAACUGAAAAA